rnacentral:lncRNA from 1 species
GACAUACUUCCUCCAGCAAGGCCACCCCUGAUCCUUCUCAAGCAGUGCCACUCCCUGAUGACCAAACAUUCAAAUGUAUGAGUCUAUGGGUGUCAUUCUUAUUCACACCAUCACAAAGGGUGUGUGUGUGUGUGUGUGUGUGUGUGUGUGUGUGUGUGUGUGUGUGUGUAGGGGGGAAGCACACAUUUGUCUCAUCUUUCAACUUGAGUUUGUUAGUAGGGCCUGAUUCAAACCAACCACUUAACACUUUCUAUGCUUACUCAAUGGCUGGCUUUUUUCUUUUCUUACAGAGUGAUACAGAGAGAUUGCACUUCAGUUGCCACCAACUUAAAGCAUUGAUUUCAGAACUGCCUGGAGCAACACACACCUUCCCAGUGCAGGAGCUAGAGUGGAUGAGUCUGGGGCCAGCAGAGGAAGCUCUUCUGCAGUGACUCAGGGCAGCUGGCAUAUUAAGUACCACUUAACAUUGUUGCUCAUUUCUUUGCAAGUACCAGGUAUGUGGGGUAACAGAAG